rnacentral:hammerhead_ribozyme from 1 species
GCACUGCUGAAGAGCCCCAAAAAAGACGAAACGACCGUCCAGUGC